CCUACGGGUGGCAGCAGUGAGGAAUAUUGGUCAAUGGACGCAAGUCUGAACCAGCCAUGCCGCGUGCAGGAAGACGGCCCUAUGAGUUGUAAACUGCUUUUGUACGAGGGUAAACGCAGAUACGUGUAUCUGUCUGAUAGUAUCGUACGCAUAAGGAUCGGCUAACUCCUGGCCAGCAGCCGCGGUAAUACGGAGGAUUCAAGCGUUAUCCGGAUUUAGUGGGUUUAAAGGGUGCGUAGGCGGUCGGAUAAGUUAGAGGUUAAAUCCCGAGGCUCAACUUCGGAAUUGACUCUGAUACUGUUCGGCUAGAGAGUAGUUGCGGUAGGCGGAAUGUAUGGUGUAGCGGUGAAAUGCUUAGAGAUCAUACAGAACACCGAUUGCGAAGGCAGCUUACCAAGCUACUUCUGACGUUGAGGCACGAAAGCGUGGGGAGCAAACAGGAUUAGAUACCCUAGUAGUC
rnacentral:rRNA from 1 species